CACCGCCUUUAACUGCAUGUGUUCUAUUUUCCCCCAAUUUCCGGUCCAGAAACGCGGCUCGAUGAGGGAGCAGGCGGGAUCGCGUCACGUGAUUCACUGGCACUAGAUUUUUAGAACAAAGCUGCAGUGAAGUCGAGUCGGAUAUGAUUGGAGUUUUCUACCAAGUAUUUUCUGUUUGUGGCAGCGUCAAUCAUCGUGCUUCUGUGAAAUCGUCAUCCGGCAACUGUUUAUGCAGCUAAUAGCAGAUUUCUUGAGGCAAUUUAUUGAGGCAAUGUUCCUUUUCUUGUGUUAUUAGAGUAGUAUUGUAAUCUUCAGUGCCAGUGUUGCUGCAUUCACCUGUUAAGAGACGGUGCCACCCCAACACAACAACCUGUCAUGAAGACUUCAAGAGAUCACCAGUUACAAGCUCAUAUGAAUCUGAAUAUGAUGUAGGCCUAUACCUAAGAAGUGUUUGUCAGCCACCAUUAUGAAGAUGUCGAAAGAUCACCAGUAACAAGCUCAUAAUGAUCUGAAUAUGGUAAAGGCCUAUAACUUAAAAGGUAAUACAUAAUUCUGAACGAUUGUUUUUGUUGGCUUUUGAAGGAUGUGUUGGUAAAUGGAGCUCCACAUUAAAUAGAACUAGCACCCAGAUUAAAUUCAUCUAGCUAAAAAAAGGCUGAUCACCUUCCAUUGCCAUGCAUUUUUAAGUCUCAAAUAAUUGAUGGCACAAGUUUGAUAAAACUGGUGAAAAGCUCUCGAAUUUGUCAAUUUUAGGCAAAUAUUAAACUGCUAGACCUAGUACCCUUUUUUAAAUUUAUUUAUAAUAGUGGCUGCAUGGUGCUGGUAGUCUUAAUAAACAAUACUUCUGAUUAAAUCUGGGUUGGGGGGUGUCUGUUGCAUUCCCCCUCCCAAUCAAAACCUCUUUAGGUCAGUAUUCCACCCAAAUUAUCUUGCACAUUUGAGGGAUUGCCUUUGAAAUUAUAAUUGACCAAUAAAACCUUGACUUGACAAAAGGAAAGUUAGCAAAACAGUCUAACACUUGGAUUUCUUGUUGUCUUGUGAGAAAAUAUGCAUAAGGCACCGACCAUGAAUCGCAGAACCUCGGCUGUUAGCCACAGCAGAUAAAUAAUCUGCCAGGGUAUAGCGUAGAAAUCCAAGGCAUUGUGUUCUAUUAAGCCUCAAAUAGUCAAUGGCACAAGUUUGAUAAAACUGCUCUUGUGACCCUUUGCCAUUUUGUUAAGUUUUAGACAUAAAUUUGAUGAAUUUGCUGGACCUUCCCCCUGUGAAUUUUAGUUUUGGGCUCAAAUUGGCUAAAACUGCUAGUCUUACCCCUUGUGUUUUUUAAACUGUAGGCCAAAUUUGAUAAAACCGCUGGACUCGCCACUUGUGAUUGUUCAAUUUGAGGCUAAAAUUCAGUAAACCUGCUGGACUUUAUACCCCUUGCUAUUUUAAAAUUUUAGAUGCAAACUUAUUUUUUUCUUUUAAAUGUUUUUCUUUGUAGUGUCAUGAAGACUUCAAGAGAUCACCAGUUACAAGCUCAUAUGAAUCUGAAUAUGAUGUAGGCCUAUACCUAAGAAGGUAAAUAAAUAAUUCUUAACAAUUGUUUUUGUAGGCCUUUCAAGGAUGAGUUGGUAAAUGGAGCUUCACAUCCAAUAGAACUAGCAUCCAGAUUAUAUUCAUCUAGCUAAAAAGGCUAAUCAACGUCCAAUGUCAUGCAUUUUAAGCCUCAAAUAAUUAGUGGCAUAAGUUUGAUAAAACUGACUAAGCCCUCCGAUUUGUCAAUUCUAGGCUAAAAUUCGCUAAAACUGCUAGACCUUACUCCUUGUGACUUUUUCAAUUUGAAUGCCAACAUUUGAAAAAGCUGCUCGACUUACAUAUUGUGAUU